rnacentral:lncRNA from 1 species
AAUAAACUCUUGUAACUAAGUUGCUCUUCUUAACAUCGUUUACCUUGCUUCAAUUUGACCAUACUAGCAUCAACAAUUUGACCACUCCUUGACACCCAUUUACUGGCUUCAAUUUGACCAUACUAGCAUCACAAACAGGUAUACUCCAGUUGCUCUUCUUAACAUCAUUUACCUUGCUGCGAGUAUAUGAAUUUUCAUAAUAUAAUAACUGCUUAAGUUGUAAAACAUCUCUACCCACCUCGUACUUUUGUGUGUCCAUUCAUCAUCUGCAUCUGCUUCAUCACUAGAACUCCCCGCGAGAAAAAAUCAUCUUCACUCAGAUCCAAAAGGCCAUCAUCCUCACUGCCAGUCUCUGUUACAAAAACCAAAAGAAGAUGAAUCGUACAGAGAUACCAAAUAAUGCAACACAAAUACAAACAACAACAUGCAAAGUUUAGUGCUACACGUCCAUGUUCCAACUUCAAUUUGAAUACUUGUGCACUUGAAUUUUACUUAAAUGAGCUUUAUAUAUAUAGAUUGGUGAAUCUCAAACUUGCUCUGCUGAAAAUGUCAGUAAAUGUGACAAAACUAGCACAGGUAUUUCUAUUCAAAAUUCUGGAAUUUCUUGCUUAAUUGAUAAAAAUAAUGUCCAAUAUAAAUUACUUAAUCUUCUCUUUGUUCCUCAAAUUACUCAAAACUUAUUAAGUGUGUCAAAAUUACUCAAAACUUAUUAAUGGUGUCAAAACUCAUCUAGCAUGACUAGAGAUUCUAUUUGUAAUCAGUUUACUGCACAAACACAAACUAAAUUAAGAAAUGAAAAUACCGAAUGCAUAAAUUAUGUAUAUAUAAUUAAAAAUUAUUAUUUAAUUAUAUAUAAUUGAAAAUCUAGAUUGAUUAUAAUAAGAAAAGGAACAAGAAGAAAAAGAACAAAAGAUGUGGAUCGGAGGAAUACAAGAAUGAAAAAUAAAAGAGCACAUCCCUGUUGACAAAAAUAAAGAAAGGUGCAUCACAUUAAAACUAAAUAAAUAAAGAAAGGUGUACAUGUUCAUAUAUAGUCCAACAGUUAUGCAUAAGUAAUAAAUACUAAGCAAGCAUAAAUUCACGAGAAGAGAAUAUAAUCUAAAGGCAUGAAGUCGUAAACAUAAAUAGCCUAAAUUCUAAUAAUAUACUAAUCUAUUGCUCAUUAUUUUCUUCAAUGUAAACUUGAUCAGUAGUGGGGCAUAUUUCUCUUCCUCUUUUUCUCUUUUUUUCCCACACACUUUUUUUACACUCAUACCAACCAUUGCCAAAUGUGUCAUUCCAAAUCAAUAUCCCAUUUUUGAGACUUUUCAUCAAACAUCUUACGUGCAUCAUUUCAAAUACUUUGAUUAAAUAAAAAAUUCAUCAUAGCAACUAAAUAAAUCAAAAUCAAAGGCAAACGCUAGCUUAAUCCCAAAUCGAAAAUGAAAUUAAACAGCAAUUAAACUAAUACAAUAUGAAAAUUAUAUUGUAAUAAUGUAAUUUCAUUAUAUUAAAAACUAGAAGAAAAUAUAGUAGAAAAUUCAAAUACUCACCAUCGAUGUUAGGUUUGAAGAGAAGAAAAAGUCGUUGAAGGAUGAUUAGGGUUUAUCCUUGUAAAAGAG